rnacentral:rRNA from 1 species
GACGAACGCUGGCGGCGUGCUUAACACAUGCAAGUCGAACGGAAAGGCCCUGCUUUUGUGGGGUGCUCGAGUGGCGAACGGGUGAGUAACACGUGAGUAACCUGCCCUUGACUUUGGGAUAACUUCAGGAAACUGGGGCUAAUACCGGAUAGGAGCUCCUGCUGCAUGGUGGGGGUUGGAAAGUUUCGGCGGUUGGGGAUGGACUCGCGGCUUAUCAGCUUGUUGGUGGGGUAGUGGCUUACCAAGGCUUUGACGGGUAGCCGGCCUGGGAGGGUGACCGGCCACAUUGGGACUGAGAUACGGCCCAGACUCCUACGGGGGGCAGCGGGGGGGAAUAUUGCACAAUGGGCGGAAGCCGGAUGCAGCAACGCCGCGGGCGGGAUGACGGCCUUCGGGUUGUAAACCGCUUUCGCCUGUGACGAAGCGGGAGUGACGGUAAUGGGUAAAGAAGCACCGGCUAACUACGUG